rnacentral:snRNA from 1 species
ACUCAUACCUUGCAUGGGGAAAUACCACAGUCAUGAAAGUGGUUUUCCCAGGGUGAGGCUCAUCCAUUGCACUUCAGGUGUGCUGAUCCCUGUGAUUUCCCCAAAUGUGGGAAACUCAACUGCAUAAUUUGUGGUAGUGGGGGAUUACAUUUGUGCUUUCCCUGG